GAGGAAUCGGUGGAAGGAGCAGGUGGAAUACGGAGGGGGAGAGCGUUAAUCGGAAUGAUGGGGUGUAAAGUGUGCGUAGGCGGAUAAUUAAGUUAGAUGUUAAAUCCCUGAGCUUAACCUAGGAACUGCCUCUAAUACUGUUUAUCUGGAGUGCGGGAGAGGAUAGUGGAAGUUCCGGUGUAGCGGUGAAAUGCGUAGAUAUCGGAAGGAACACCAGUGGCGAAGGCGGCUAUCUGGACUGACACUGACGCUGAGGCGCGAGAGCGUGGGGAGCAAACAGGAUUAGAUACCCGAGUAGUC
rnacentral:rRNA from 1 species